UGCCCCAUGGCUGAGUUGGUCACAGCGUCCGACUGUUAAUGCAGAGCCUCAAGACUCUACCGCAUGACAUCGGAAGGUCGUGAGUUCGAGCCUCACUGGGGCAG
rfam:Laetiporus sulphureus 93-53 unplaced genomic scaffold LAESTscaffold_2, whole genome shotgun sequence.